rnacentral:tRNA from 1 species
CAAAAAGUAGUAUAUGUAUAUAUUACAACUCGCUUACACCGAGUUAAAGGAUACCCCCUUUUUG